rnacentral:rRNA from 1 species
GAUGAACGCUGGCGGUAUGCUUAACACAUGCAAGUCGAACGGUCACUUCGGUGAUAGUGGCGGACGGGUGAGUAACGCGUGAGAAUCUGUCUUCAGGUCGGGGACAACAGUUAGAAAUGACUGCUAAUACCGGAUGUGCCUUUGGGUGAAAGAUUUAUUGCCUGAAAAAGAGCUCGCGUCAGGUUAGCUAGUAGGUGGUGUAAGAGACUACCUAGGCUCCGAUCUGUAGCUGGUCUGAGAGGACGAUCAGCCACACUGGAACUGAGACACGGUCCAGACUCCUACGGGAGGCAGCAGUGGGGAAUUUUCCGCAAUGGGCGAAAGCCUGACGGAGCAAUACCGCGUGAGGGACGAAGGCUUUUGGGUCGUAAACCUCUUUUCUCAAGGAAGAUGAUGACGGUACUUGAGGAAUAAGCAGCGGCUAACUCUGUG